rnacentral:rRNA from 1 species
GAUGAACGCUAGCGGCAGGCCUAAUACAUGCAAGUCGAACGGGACUUGGUAGCAAUACCAAGUUCAGUGGCGCACGGGUGCGUAACGCGUAUGCAACCUACCUUAAACUGGGGGAUAGCC